GUAGGUGGCAAGCGUUGUCCGGAAUUAUUGGGCGUAAAGCGCGCGCAGGCGGUUCUUUAAGUCUGAUGUGAAAGCCCACGGCCCAACCGUGGAGGGUCAUUGGAAACUGGAGAACUUGAGUACAGAAGAGGGAAGCGGAAUUCCACGUGUAGCGGUGAAAUGCGUAGAGAUGUGGAGGAACACCAGUGGCGAAGGCGGCUUUCUGGUCUGUAACUGACGCUGAGGCGCGAAAGCGUGGGGAGCAAACAGGGAUUAGAUACCCUGGUAGUCCACGCCGUAAACGAUGAGUGCUAAGUGUUAGGGGGUUUCCCGCCCCUUAGUGCUGCAGCUAACGCAUCAAGCACUCCGCCUGGGGAUACGGCCGCAAGGCUG
rnacentral:rRNA from 1 species